rnacentral:rRNA from 1 species
AGAGUUUGAUCAUGGCUCAGAAUCAACGCUGGCGGCGUGCCUAACACAUGCAAGUCGCACGAGAAAGGGGAGCAAUCCCUGAGUAAAGUGGCGCACGGGUGAGUAACACGUGAAUUAUCUACCUCCGAGUGGGGAAUAACUGAGAGAAAUCUUAGCUAAUACCGCAUAACACUUACGAGUCAAAGCAGCAAUGCGCUUGGAGAGGAGUUCGCGGCCGAUUAGCUAGUUGGCGGGGUAAUGGCCCACCAAGGCGAUGAUCGGUAUCCGGCCUGAGAGGGCGCACGGACACACUGGAACUGAAACACGGUCCAGACUCCUACGGGAGGCAGCAGUGGGGAAUUUUGCGCAAUGGGGGAAACCCUGACGCAGCAACGCCGCGUGGAGGAUGAAGCCCCUUGGGGUGUAAACUCCUUUCGAUCGGGAAGAUAAUGACGGUACCGAUAUAAGAAGCCCCGGCUAACUUCGUGCCAGCAGCCGCGGUAAUACGAGGGGGGCAAGCGUUGUUCGGAAUUAUUGGGCGUAAAGGGUGCGUAGGCGGUUUGACAAGUCUGAUGUGAAAUCUAUGGGCUCAACCCAUAGUCUGCAUUAGAAACUGUCGGGCUUGAGUAUGGGAGAGGUGAGUGGAAUUUCCGGUGUAGCGGUGAAAUGCGUAGAUAUCGGAAGGAACACCUGUGGCGAAAGCGGCUCACUGGACCAUAACUGACGCUGAGGCACGAAAGCUAGGGGAGCAAACAGGAUUAGAUACCCUAGUAGUCC